rfam:Ailuropoda melanoleuca scaffold74_120, whole genome shotgun sequence.
ACUUAGCUGGCUCAGUUGGUGGAGCGUGUGAUUCUUGAUCUCAGGGUUGUGAGUUCAAGCCCUGUGUUGGGUG